AUGCAUGCAUGCGCUUUAACCAAUUACUUACUCCCAGGGGACGUCGCCGACGAGCAUCCAGUCGCCGUCCUUGUCCUCGUAGGUGGGCACAUAGUCGGAGCCGUUGAGCAGGUCCACCAGCUUGCUCUCGUUCAUGCCCGUCAUCCCCUGAGCCUGCGAGCAGUCGUUGCCGAUGGUGAAGGAGCUGAACAUCUUCUCCAGGGCCUUGGACAGCUCCUGGUAGCUCUUGUAGGUGCCCAUGUCCACCUUGCGCAGGUAGGGCGCGCCGUCCAUGCUCACCUUCACCAGCGCCGCCCCCCCUCUCUCCGCCGUCGCCGCCAGCAUGUUCCUCCGGAACGACCGCACCGGCGGCCACCCCACCGCCUGCGCCCUGCUCCGCCAAACAUCAAUCAGUCAAUUCAUAAUUGUUCACAUGGAUGA
rnacentral:rRNA from 1 species